rnacentral:rRNA from 1 species
GAAGGGUAGCCGGACGGGGUUCUGGACGUCCCCGCGAGGCCACGUAGGCCGGAAGGUUGUGAAACGCGCCUUCCACGACGGCUGAGGUGGCGGACGAAGCGACUGAGCGAAGCCGGUGAGCCCAUGCUUCCUAGAAAACCCCCUAGGGAGCCUCGAGGAGCCCGUACCGCAAACCGACACAGGUGGGUGGGUAGAGCAUACCAAGGCGAUCGGGAGAACCAUGGUUAAGGAACUCGGCAAAAUGACCCCGUAACUUCGGGAGAAGGGGUGCCGCCGGCGGUGGAGGGGCCCGCCCCCCGAGCGGCUGGCGGCCGCAGAGAGUUGGCCCAAACGACUGUUUAUCAAAAACACAGGACUCUGCUGAAGUCGUAAGACGACGUAUAGGGUCUGAAGCCUGCCCGGUGCCGGAAGGUCACGGGGAGCCGUUAGCGCGAGCGAAGCGGCGAACC